UGUUGGGGUAACGGCCCAACAAGCCAUUGAUCGGUACGGGUCGUGGGAGCAAGAGCCCGGAGAUGGAUUCUGAGACAUGAAUCCAGGCCCUACGGGGCGCAGCAGGCGCGAAAACUUUACAAUGCGAGCAAUCGUGAUAAGGAAACCCUGAGUGCCUGUCAAUGCAGGCUGUUCUGGUGUCUAACACACACCAGGAGAAAGGGCGGGGCAAGACCGGUGCCAGCCGCCGCGGUAAUACCGGCUGCUCGAGUGAUAGCCGCUUUUACUGGGCUUAAAGCGUUCGUAGCUUGGUCGUUAAGUCUCUGGGGAAAUCUUCUGGCUUAACCAAAAGGCGUCUCAGGGAAACUGGCGAUCUUGGAACCGGGAGAGGUAAGACGUACUUCGGGGGUAGGAGUGAAAUCUUGUAAUCCCCGAGGGACGACCGAUGGCGAAGGCAUCUUACCAGAACGGCUUCGACAGUGAGGGACGAAAGCUGGGGGAGCAAACCGGAUUAGAU
rnacentral:rRNA from 1 species